GCCUACGGGGGGCAGCAGUGGGGGAUAUUGCACAAUGGGGGGAACCCUGAUGCAGCGACGCGGCGUGGGUGAAGAAGCGCCUCGGCGCGUAAAGCCCUGUCAGCAGGGAAGAAAAUGACGGUACCUGAAGAAGAAGCCCCGGCUAACUACGUGCCAGCAGCCGCGGUAAUACGUAGGGGGCAAGCGUUAUCCGGAUUUACUGGGUGUAAAGGGGGCGCAGACGGCGAUGCAAGCCAGGAGUGAAAGCCCGGGGCCCAACCCCGGGACUGCUCUUGGAACUGCGUGGCUGGAGUGCAGGAGGGGCA
rnacentral:rRNA from 1 species